rnacentral:rRNA from 1 species
GACGAACGCUGGCGGCGUGCUUAACACAUGCAAGUCGAACGGAAAGGCCCUGCUUUUGUAGGGUGCUCGAGUGGCGAACGGGUGAGUAACACGUGAGUAACCUGCCCUUGACUUUGGGAUAACUUCAGGAAACUGGGGCUAAUACCGGAUAGGAGCUCCUGCUGCAUGGUGGGGGUUGGAAAGUUUCGGCGGUUGGGGAUGGACUCGCGGCUUAUCAGCUUGUUGGUGGGGUAGUGGCUUACCAAGGCUUUGACGGGUAGCCGGCCUGAGAGGGUGACCGGCCACAUUGGGACUGAGAUACGGCCCAGACUCCUAAGGGAGGCAGCAGUGGGGAAUAUUGCACAAUGGGCGGAAGCCUGAUGCAGCAACGCCGCGUGCGGGAUGACGGCCUUCGGGUUGUAAACCGCUUUCGCCUGUGACGAAGCGUGAGUGACGGUAAUGGGUAAAGAAGCACCGGCUAACUACGUG